ACGAUGGAGAGUUUGAUCCUGGCUCAGGAUGAACGCUAGCGGCAGGCCUAAUACAUGCAAGUCGAACGGUCCGCAAGGACAGUGGCAAACGGGUGCGUAACGCGUAAGCAACCUGCCCUCAACUGGGGGAUAGCCCGGCGAAAGCUGGGGUAAACCCGCACGGUCCAGUAGAAUCACCUGGUUUUACUGGUAAACAUUUAUGGGUUGAGGAGGGGCUUGCGUCUGAUUAGUUAGUUGGCAGGGUAACGGCCUACCAAGACGGUG
rnacentral:rRNA from 1 species